GAUGAACGCUGGCGGCGUGCUUAACACAUGCAAGUCGGACGAGCAAUGUCUUUCGGGGUAUUGCGAGUGGCAGACGGGUGCGUAACACGUGGGUGACCUGCCCUAGAGUGGGGAAUAACUGCCCUAACGGGUGGCUAAUACCGCAUACGCUCACGGAUUCGGUUUCGUGAGUAAAGCCUUCGGGCGCUUUAGGAUGGGCCUGCGGCGGAUUAGCUAGUUGGUGGGGUAACGGCCUACCAAGGCGAUGAUCCGUAGGGGGCGUGAGAGCGUGGCCCCCCACACUGGCACUGAGACACGGGCCAGACUCCUACGGGAGGCAGCAGUGAGGAAUAUUGCACAAUGGGCGCAAGCCUGAUGCAGCAACGCCGCGUGCGGGACGAAGGCCUUCGGGUCGUAAACCGCUUUUCUGGGGAAAGAGCAAGGACGGUACCUCAGGAAUAAGUCUCGGCUAACUACGUGCCAGCCGCCGCGGUAAAAC
rnacentral:rRNA from 1 species